rnacentral:rRNA from 1 species
GACGAACCGUCCUAACGUUAUUCGGAUUCACUGGGCUUAAAGGGCGCGUAGGCGGACGAGCAAGUCCGGGGUGAAAUCUUUCGGCUUAACCGGAAAAGUGCCUUGGAUACUGCUCGUCUUGAGGGAGGUAGGGGCAUGUGGAACUUCCGGUGGAGCGGUGAAAUGCGUUGAUAUCGGAAGGAACGCCGGUGGCGAAGGCGACACGCUGGGCCGUACCUGACACUGAUGCGCGACAGCAUGGGGAGCAAACAGG